CGACCUACCUUCUGCUCAUGACAUCAUGCCUAUCUGUGGCAAAGGAAAAGCUAUUACUGAACAAUUCUAUGUGUUUGAAGUUGGUUCAACAUCUGUUGCAUCGUAUGAACAACACAAUUCAGUGAAACUCACUGUUAUAAAUAAAGGUUCAACGUCUACUAUAUCGUGCAAAGAAAUCAAUCCAGAGGCAUUUAUUACUACAAAUAAAGGGAAUUUUUGAUAUCCUUAGACUUGGUAAAAAGGAGGCUUCUAUGAUAGGGAAAGAAAGCUUUCUUCCACCGAGUUUCACAGAUGGUCCAAGAGAUAUGCGACAACGUUAUAUGGACGCAAUUGCAUUAGUGCAACAUUUUGGAAAACUUGAUAUAUUUUUUACUAUGAUAUGUAAUCCCUCUUGGCCCAAAAUUAAAGAACACUUAUUGUCAACAAAUGAAGCUCAAAAUUGACCUGAUUUAGUUAUCCGCGUAUUCAAAGCUAAGGUAGAAGAAAUGCAA